GAUGAAGAACGCAGCGAAAUGCGAUAAGUAAUGUGAAUUGCAGAAUUCAGUGAAUCAUCGAAUCUUUGAACGCACAUUGCGCCCGCCAGAAUACUGGCGGGCAUGCCUGUCCGAGCGUCAUUUCAACCCUCGAACCCCUCCGGGGGGUCGGCGUUGGGGAUCGGCCCUCCCUUAGCGGGUGGCCGUCUCCGAAAUACAGUGGCGGUCUCGCCGCAGCCUCUCCUGCGCAGUAGUUUGCACACUCGCAUCGGGAGCGCGGCGCGUCCACAGCCGUUAAACACCCAACUUCUGAAAUGUUGACCUCGGAUCAGGUAGGAAUACCCGCUGAACUUAAGCAUAUCAAUAAGCGGAGGA
rnacentral:misc_RNA from 1 species